CGCAAAUCCCAGGAGCCUAUUAUCUCCGGCGUGACACGUAGCAUACCUAUUGCCACGCACGCCGGUGCGUUUCGGCGUCUUCAUCAUUCCUUUCAGUCACGUCUGCUCCCGAGUCGAGAGAGCGGGCGAGACAUAGCAAAGCAAAAUGCACGAAGAGUUUUCAAUGGAGGAUCCAACUCAGCUACUUGAAACAGCUUCAGAUUUUGCUAAUUAUCCGGGAGUACUUAACGACGCCGCCGUAAGGGACUUUCUCAAUCGCUUCCCUCUUCCAGCAAUAAUUAAUGCAUUACAAACCAAAUUGGAUGUACCUGGCCUAGAAAAUACUCUAACUGCUUGUUUGGAGAGGCUAUUCAAAACAAAAUUUGGCGCUUCUUUGAUUCCACAGUAUAUGCCUUUUGUACAAGUUGGUUUGCAGGCAGAUUCUCAGGCAGUCAGAUCCUUAGCUUGUAAAACAGUCACUUGCCUUCUGGAGGAACUUGACUGUGAUACUGAUGUUGCUGCUCGUCUAAUUGCAGAAUACAACAUAUAUCCUCUCUUGCUUGAUUGCCUUGUGAAUGGCAAUGAACAAGUGGCAGCUGCAGCAAUGGAUGUGAUAAAGAAGUUAGCUCAUUCUCCUGAGGGCAGGGAAAUCAUCUUUCCAUCUGCCAGGGAAGGUGCUGCAGACCUGAGGACUUUAGCAUCGCAGUGUUCAUCACUGGGACGGGUUCGUGUAAUGGCCUUAGUGGUGAAACUUUUCUCUGUAUCUAAGUCUGCAGCAUCAACCAUAUACAGUUUAAAUCUUCUUAAUUUUUUGGAGGCAGAAAUCGCAAAUGCAGAUGAUACUCUUGUAACUUUAAGUGUUUUGGAGCUUCUAUACGAGUUAGCAGAGAUCGAGCAUAGUACUGAAUUCUUCUCAAAGACUAACCUCCUUCAACUUCUUAGUUCUAUAAUUAGCAACAAUUCUGUGGAGGCCAUUUUAAAAUCUAGAGCAAUGAUGAUAAUCGGAAGGCUUCUGUCCAAGGAAAUUAUAUACACCUUCAUAGAUGAAUCAUGUCUUAAAACUGUUAUUUCUUCAAUUGAUGGAAGACUCAAGUCCUUAGAAAGUUCUGAUAGGGAUGAAUGUGAAACUGCGCUUGAAGCAUUGGGUCAUAUAGGACUGUCUAUCCCUGGAGCUGCAUUGCUGCUCUCAGGCACAUCACCUGUUGCAAGACAUGUUAUUUAUGCUGCUUUUGAUCAACAAGGACCACAAGGGCAUGGUAAACAGCUGGCUGCUUUGCAUGCUCUGGGAAACAUCUCUGGAGAAACUCGAUCUGAAAAUGAUAAAAUACUCAAUUCUGAAGCAGAAGAAAAUGUGCGACGUUUAAUUUAUGAAGUUGGAUCCAGGAACUCAAAGUUGACACCAUCGGGUCUUUUCUUAUCAGUUCUGCGGCAGGACUCAGAAAUCCGAUUGGCGGGUUAUAGGAUGAUAAGUGGAUUAGUUGCUCGAUCAUGGUGCUUGAUGGAGAUCUGCUCAAAACAAGAGAUAAUAAACAUGGUGACUGACCCAAGUAGUGAAACCACAAAAAUAGGCAUGGAAGCUAGAUAUAACUGCUGCAAGGCUAUACACAAGUCACUGAUGCAGUCAAGUAAACUCUCUGUUGAUCCUGCUCUAGCAGCAAUAGAUGCAAAGCUGCAGGAAGCUAUUGAAAUGGGUCCAUAUCUUGUUAGAAAGCAUGUGGAAGCUCAACCUAUUGUGAUGACGGCUGAGCGAUUCUAGUUUGUGCAGAUGGUGUGGUCAAUGCGCGUGUUGCCUGUGGCAAAUAUGCAAAUGCGUGCCCGGCUAGCUGCUGAACUGUCACCCUGGAUCACGUACCUGGAGAAAGGAGAGUUUAUCUUAAGAUUUCGUAAAAAUUUAAAUUUAAAUCAUUUAGAUGAAAAGGCCAAAUUGAAAAUGUACUUGUUUGCAUAGGCUGGGAGGCGCAUUCGGUCGUGCUCAUUUCCUCUUACUCAUGUCUUGAUUUUAAUUUGUUUUUUAAAUAUUUUUUAUAUUAUAUUGAAACCAAAAUAUAUAAAAUUAUAAAAAAAUGAAUAUUAAAUUUGGAUUGUCUAAAAUUUAUUUAAAUGAUUAAUUUGUAAAAAU